CGGUAGCUCAGGUGGUUAGAGCGCACGCCUGAUAAGCGUGAGGUCGGAGGUUCAACCGCUGCUG
rnacentral:tRNA from 1 species